UGGGGAAUUUUGGACAAUGGGCGAAAGCCUGAUCCAGCAAUGCCGCGUGUGUGAAGAAGGCCUUCGGGUUGUAAAGCACUUUUGUCCGGAAAGAAAUCCUUGGCUCUAAUACAGUCGGGGGAUGACGGUACCGGAAGAAUAAGCACCGGCUAACUACGUGCCAGCAGCCGCGGUAAUACGUAGGGUGCAAGCGUUAAUCGGAAUUACUGGGCGUAAAGCGUGCGCAGGCGGUUUGCUAAGACCGAUGUGAAAUCCCCGGGCUCAACCUGGGAACUGCAUUGGUGACUGGCAGGCUAGAGUAUGGCAGAGGGGGGUAGAAUUCCACGUGUAGCAGUGAAAUGCGUAGAGAUGUGGAGGAAUACCGAUGGCGAAGGCAGCCCCCUGGGCCAAUACUGACGCUCAUGCACGAAAGCGUGGGGAGCAAACAGGAUUAGAUACCCUGGUAGUCCACGCCCUAAAACGAUGUCAACUAGUUGUUGGGGAUUCAUUCCCUUAGUAACGUAGCUAACGCGUGAAGUUGACCGCCUGGGGAGUACGGUCGCAAGAUUAAAACUCAAAGGAAUUGAC
rnacentral:rRNA from 1 species